GAUGAAGAACGUAGCGAAAUGCGAUAAGUAAUGUGAAUUGCAGAAUUCAGUGAAUCAUCGAAUCUUUGAACGCACAUUGCGCCCCUUGGUAUUCCGAGGGGCAUGCCUGUUCGAGCGUCAUUAUAACCCCUCAAGCUCAGCUUGGUGUUGGGGCCUGCCGCACGGGCAGCCCUUAAAAUCAGUGGCGGUGCCAUCUGGCUCUAAGCGUAGUAAUUCUUCUCGCUAUAGAGUCCCGGUGGAUGCUUGCCAUUAACCCCCAAUUUUCUAUGGUUGACCUCGGAUCAGGUAGGGAUACCCGCUGAACUUAAGCAUAUCAAAAGCGGAGGA
rnacentral:misc_RNA from 1 species